UGCCAGCCGCCGCGGUAAUACAGAGGGUGCGAGCGUUAAUCGGAAUUACUGGGCGUAAAGGGCGCGUAGGUGGCUUGGUAAGUUGGAUGUGAAAGCCCUGGGCUUAACCUGGGAAUUGCAUUCGAUACUGCCUCGCUAGAGUAUGGUAGAGGGAAGCGGAAUUCCCGGUGUAGCGGUGAAAUGCGUAGAUAUCGGGAGGAACAUCAGUGGCGAAGGCGGCUUCCUGGACCAAUACUGACACUGAGGCGCGAAGGCGUGGGGAGCAAACAGGAUUAGAUA
rnacentral:rRNA from 1 species